GACGAACGCUGGCGGCGUGCUUAACACAUGCAAGUCGAGCGGUAAGGCCCUUUCGGGGGUACACGAGCGGCGAACGGGUGAGUAACACGUGGGUGACCUGCCCUCAGCUCUGGGAUAAGCCUGGGAAACCGGGUCUAAUACUGGAUAUGACUCCAUGACGCAUGUUGUGGGGUGGAAAGCCUUGUGCGGCUGAGGAUGGGCCCGCGGCCUAUCAGCUUGUUGGUGGGGNGAUGGCCCACCAAGGCGACGACGGGUAGCCGGCCUGAGAGGGCGACCGGCCACACUGGGACUGAGACACGGCCCAGACUCCUACGGGAGGCAGCAGUGGGGAAUCUUGCGCAAUGGGCGAAAGCCUGACGCAGCGACGCCG
rnacentral:rRNA from 1 species